AUUCUACUCCCUCCGUUGCACAAUACAUGUCUUCUAUUUUUGAAAAUAUAUAUGUAUCUAGACAUGUUUUAGUAUAUAGGUACAUCCAUUUUUGGACAAAUAGAAGUCAAGUAUUUUGGAACGGAGGGAGUACACA
rnacentral:pre_miRNA from 1 species